CGGAAGCGGACUCGGCAUGAUGUCGCAUCCUGGGCCUACGUAGUUUGUCAGAAACAAACAUCAGAGUCAACGUAGUUCGGGGAAAUUGGAAACGGGCUCGCUAGGAUAUCGCAUCCCAUGCCUACGUAUCUCAUCUGGAAUGAGAAUCAGAGCUACCGUAUUUCGGCUAACGCAUGCCGAAACAAAACACAACACAAAGACGCUG
rnacentral:lncRNA from 1 species